UGUGUGUGUGUUACACAGAACAUCAGUUUCCACACUUCUAUUAGUGGAGCCAGACAUCUUAUACGUAAUAGAAAUGUGUAGGGGGGUGUACAGUAUGGUGCGUGGUCAUUAAAUAUAUAUUCUGAUAUAUGUUAAAAGUCAGUGAGUCUCAGUUAUAAAAAAUAAUUAACUAUCAUUUUUCUUUUAAUAAAAAAAAUGAAAAGGGGUCCCACAGACCCGAAAACCACACACGGGGUUAAUCAGAAUUUUUAUUACCAUUUUGAGCAUGUUGCUGGCGGAGGGCUUCACACUUCUCCUCAGGGCGUUGUGCUUGUUCACGAUCUCAGUCUGCUCCGAGGACGAGGCCAGGACACUUUCUGACAUCACAGCAGAGCAAAGUUAUUUCUAGUUAAAGUUGGGAGUGUGUGAAUAAAGUUGUGGAAGAUCAGUGAUGACUGUACUCACCCUCCUUCAGGUCGGUCCAUCACGGGAGAGGAAACACAUUUUCAACAAUUUGCUGACAUUGAUUUUUCAAGCAUGUCUAAUUGUACUUACAGCCAACAACUCCACGUCAUUCUCCGAGCUGGCCGACACCCGCAGGGCGGCACAGAGGCCCAAAGCGCACAGGAAGGCGAAGACGUACGAGUUCAUCGCUAGAUUCCAGGCUCACACCUUCUAAGGAACACAGGGUAAAGGAACAUCAAUAAAAGAUGCACUGGCCAAAUGGGAGGAGAAGACCGGGGAGAAGUGCGCUGAGGCCACGGUGGUCAAGUUGUACAAUCAGAUCCCCCCCAUCGAGAAGCUGGACAACACGCUCAACA